ACUUGCUUCUUUUUAACAGCCCUAUCAGCCGAGAGAAAUAAUGACUCCUGAAUCAUUUGACAGUAAAAAAGUUAAAAUGAUGUCUCAAUGGCGCUGCAUCAUGCCAGACGCGCGUGGAUGAUUUGAAGAUAUUAGCCUAACAAGAUGGAAGCAGGUUUAAAAUUUUACAUAAGAAGUUACCUUUUUCAGAUACAGUUAAGCUAAUGAUCUCGAGAGGAUAUCGUCCUGGAUAAGGGUGGAGCCUACGCCCAAAAACAAGAUUACCUGAAAGAGAAAAGAAAGGGGGAAAACACACAGAGAUACAGUCGGGGAGGCCACAUGAAGAUGGAGGCAGAGACAGGAGUGAUGAGCCUGCAAGCCAAGGAAUGCCAAGGGCUGCCAGCAGCCAUGAGAAGCUGAGAGACACAGAGAACGAGUCCUCUGCCAGAGCCUCCAGAAGGAACUAACCCUGUCAAUACCUUGAUUUCGGACUUCUGGACUCCAGAACUAUAACCCUCCUUCCUCCACCUCACAAAAACUCACAAGCUGCAACCCUUCUGAUGUCCACUCCCACACAAACCAGCUUCAGGCCUUUUUCAAGUGGAUGCUGUGGGGCACCACCUCCUUGAGGACCAAGGCACUCCAGCUGCCAGGAAUUUGGCUGCUAACCUCACACAGCUGAGCCUUCCAUGAAAAUUGCUCUCUGCCAAAGAGAACUUCCUAGUCCAAGGUCAUGUCUACUCUCCAGAGAUGUGACUGGAGUGAUUUGCACCCGGAUGCCUAGACUCGCCAUCUGCUCAAAGACUGCUCAGAAAGCCCUCCCAUGCAUUCCCCUGCUGCAUACCAGCCCACUCUGCCUGCAGCUGCUGUCUGCAGGACUUCAUAUCUAUGCCACACUGUGUAAAAGCUGUGCUUCAAGAAAUCACAAAAACAUUUUCCUGCACCUACUACACAGCCUGAGUGCGGCAUAAGUUGACCUUGCUUGCUAAGAAAUGGGGCAAGAAAUGCUUUUUUGUGUGUGUCAUGUCUGUUUGUUUUUCAAUUAAGAGAGGAAAGCAUUAGGCAGAUGGAAUGUACAUGUGAGGAUGAGGAGACAGAAAACAAGUAGCCCUUUCCAUCAAGAUAGAGGGUUUUCUGGGGUUGCUGGCUAUUGAAUGUCACUCCUGAUUUCUCUUUCCAAGGCACUGUACCACCAGCCUACUGAGAUUGUGUGGGAGCUUUCAUGGGGGUUGUAUUUCACUGAUGAAAAUAAAUUUUUUGCAUAAUGUGAAUGUUUAUGUUUCUUUAUAGAAUAGACUUAGUUUAGCAAUAAGCUAAUAAUACUGACGUAACUCUAAUUCUCUGGGGAAAAAAUUUGCUCCCCCACCUUCCAUUCCUGCAACAUCAUCAAAG
rnacentral:lncRNA from 10 species